GAUGAACGCUGACAGCAUGCUUAACACAUGCAAGUCAACUUGAACUUCGGUUUGGGUGGCGGACGGGUGAGUAACGCGUAAAGAACUUGCCUCACAGAUAGGGACAACAUUUGGAAACGAAUGCUAAUACCUGAUAUUAUGAUUAUAUGGCAUCGUAUAAUUAUGAAAGCUAUAUGCGCUGUGAGAGAGCUUUGCGUCCCAUUAGCUAGUUGGAGAGGUAACGGCUCACCAAGGCGAUGAUGGGUAGCCGGCCUGAGAGGGUGAUCGGCCACAAGGGGACUGAGACACGGCCCUUACUCCUACGGGAGGCAGCAGUGGGGAAUAUUGGACAAUGGACCAAGAGUCUGAUCCAGCAAUUCUGUGUGCACGAUGAAGUUUUUCGGAAUGUAAAGUGCUUUCAGUUGGGAAGAAAAAAAUGACGGUGCCAACAGAAGAAGUGACGGCUAAAUACGUG
rnacentral:rRNA from 1 species